rnacentral:rRNA from 1 species
AUUGAACGCUGGCGGCAGGCUUAACACAUGCAAGUCGAGCGGAGAUGAGGUGCUUGCACCUUAUCUUAGCGGCGGACGGGUGAGUAAUGCUUAGGAAUCUGCCUAUUAGUGGGGGACAACAUUCCGAAAGGAAUGCUAAUACCGCAUACGCCCUACGGGGGAAAGCAGGGGAUCUUCGGACCUUGCGCUAAUAGAUGAGCCUAAGUCGGAUUAGCUAGUUGGUGGGGUAAAGGCCUACCAAGGCGACGAUCUGUAGCGGGGCUGAGAGGAUGAUCCGCCGCACUGGGACUGAGACACGGCCCAGACUCCUACGGGAGGCAGCAGUGGGGAAUAUUGGACAAUGGGCGGAAGCCUGAUCCAGCCAUGCCGCGUGUGUGAAGAAGGCCUUUUGGUUGUAAAGCACUUUAAGCGAGGAGGAGGCUACUUAGAUUAAUACUCUAGGAUAGUGGACGUUACUCGCAGAAUAAGCACCGGCUAACUCUGUGCCAGCCGCCGCAGUAAAAC